UACGUAGGUGGCAAGCGUUGUCCGGAAUUAUUGGGCGUAAAGCGCGCGCAGGCGGUCCUUUAAGUCUGAUGUGAAAGCCCACGGCUCAACCGUGGAGGGUCAUUGGAAACUCGGGGACUUGAGUACAGAAGAGAAGAGUGGAAUUCCACGUGUAGCGGUGAAAUGCGUAGAGAUGUGGAGGAACACCAGUGGCGAAGGCGACUCUUUGGUCUGUAACUGACGCUGAGGCGCGAAAGCGUGGGGAGCAAACAGG
rnacentral:rRNA from 1 species